UCCAACUUCUUCUGCAACGCACAACAACACCACCAUGUCUGCCAAGAUCUCCACCAGCCUGACCAACGGGAGCGCUAGGGUCCUCUCUGCAACCUCAACGCCAAUCACACCGUUUCACACGCCAGCCAGUCCACCUGGCAGACAGAAUAAGGACGGACGUCUCCACCCUCUCAUGACCACAUCCAAGAAUCCCACCAUGACAGUGGCUAAAACGUUAACUUUGAGGCUUCGAAAAGAAAACCUGUGAUGCCUCUUUUAUGCACAGUCUCUGGGUUACAUAAGGAGGAGGCCACCUACUGGCUGUAUUCAUAAGACUGACAGCAGUCAUUCAACAGGCUGAUAACAUUAGGACCAAAUCAUUUUUAGCUUCGUCUGAAAAAGACGCAGUAAUUUAAUCUCAGAAGACGAGCCUGACGCAGAGGACGGAUGUAAAUAAAACAGCUUGAGCUCAAAGUUU